rnacentral:rRNA from 1 species
GAUGAACGCUGGCGGCGUGCCUAAUACAUGCAAGUCGAGCGAACAGACGAGGAGCUUGCUCCUCUGACGUUAGCGGCGGACGGGUGAGUAACACGUGGAUAACCUACCUAUAAGACUGGGAUAACUUCGGGAAACCGGAGCUAAUACCGGAUAAUAUAUUGAACCGCAUGGUUCAAUAGUGAAAGACGGUUUUGCUGUCACUUAUAGAUGGAUCCGCGCCGCAUUAGCUAGUUGGUAAGGUAACGGCUUACCAAGGCAACGAGGCGUAGCCGACCUGAGAGGGUGAUCGGCCACACUGGAACUGAGCCACGGUCCAGACUCCUACGGGAGGCAGCAGUAGGGAAUUUUCCGCAAUGGGAGAAAGCCUGACGGAGUAACGCCGCGUGGGGGAUGAAGGUCUUCGGAUCGUAAAACUCUGUUAUUAGGGAAGAACAAAUGUGUAAGUAACUAUGCACGUCUUGACGGUACCUAAUCAGAAAGCCACGGCUAACUACGUG